ensembl:lncRNA
UUUAGUUUUAAAGCUAUACUAGAUGGAGUAAUAAACAGACAAAAUUAAUUCCAGGUUGGAGGUUAAUCAUUGAAAUUAAUGAGCUUGAUGACAAUUAAGAGCACUUAAACAUCGAAGCCAUCAGUGAAGCUGAUUGAGAAUAGCUGUAAAGCAGUAAGUAGCAGUACUGCUUGAUUAAGUUUCUGAAAGAGGUAUUUGAUUUGGUUCUAGUCUUGGAUGAUCACUCCAUAUGGCUAUGAUUUGUUUUUGGAACUAUUUUAGCCCUUUUCCUCUUUGCUGUUAAUGGAGAGAAAUCAGGACCAUCCUUGCUUUCCUGCAAUGACUGAGUCUGGCUCUAAUGGCAAAUUUUGUGUAAGUCUAAAGCUCCACGAGUAGCUAGAAAAUUAUUGCAGAAACUUAGGGUGGAACUUCAAGGGAAGUUCUUCAAAAUGACAGAAGAGAGAAGUCAUGUUUAAACCUUACCUGGCUUUGAACUUCAUCCAAACAGACAAACCCGGACAAACCAGGACAAACUGAUGUAGUCAUGUCAAAAUCUACAGCUGUAUCUGCUACGUUUGACAUUGAUCUCGGCAUCCUUCUUCAACGGCACCUCAAUUGCAAGCAAGGCAGUCUAUGUUCUGGAUGGCAGCCAGUGACCCAACAAAGUGAUGCUGAAUCUCCAUACAAACCAGAAUGGACUGGAUGCUUUCUCCCUCACCACUGCUAACUUUCCUAAAGCCAAUCUGAAUUAUCUUAUCCUUUUUAUAAACUCUUGCAAG